AGUCCUGUAGCUUAGUGGUUAGAGCAUUCACUUCGUAAGCGAGAAAUCUGGGUUCGAUUCCCAGCAGGACGA